UACAGAGGGGGCAAGCGUUGUUCGGAAUCACUGGGCGUAAAGCGCACGUAGGCGGCUUCUUAAGUCAGGGGUGAAAUCCUGGAGCUCAACUCCAGAACUGCCUUUGAUACUGAGGAGCUUGAGUCCGGGAGAGGUGAGUGGAACUGCGAGUGUAGAGGUGAAAUUCGUAGAUAUUCGCAAGAACACCAGUGGCGAAGGCGGCUCACUGGCCCGGUACUGACGCUGAGGUGCGAAAGCGUGGGGAGCGAUCCGG
rnacentral:rRNA from 1 species